UUCUUUGCUCUGGAGUUUGCACUGGCAUGUGGGGAGAGGGUAGGUAGCAAAGAUCCCUUGAAUUUCCGGAGUACGAAAUUAGGGAGUACAGAAUUCCACUGCAUCAUUCCAAAGGAUCCAGAUUGAUUAAAAACUAAUGUGCUACCUACGAUAAAACACAGAAUGCGGAUGAUGGUGCCGAUGGGGUUUGAUGCUGGCCAACCCAAAUCAGGAAAAAAGAAAUGUCUACUUCAAACUUGCAUGCCACGAAUUAUUUUUCACAAG